rnacentral:rRNA from 1 species
AACGAACGCUGGCGGCAGGCUUAACACAUGCAAGCCGAGCGCCCCGCAAGGGGAGCGGCAGACGGGUGAGUAACGCGUGGGAAUCUACCCUUUUCUACGGAAUAACGCAGGGAAACUUGUGCUAAUACCGUAUGAGCCCUUCGGGGGAAAGAUUUAUCGGGAAAGGAUGAGCCCGCGUUGGAUUAGCUAGUUGGUGGGGU